rfam:Triticum aestivum genome assembly, contig: Triticum_aestivum_CS42_TGACv1_scaffold_146402_2BS
CUACUACUCCCUCCGUCCCAAAAUUCUUGUCUUAGAUUUGUCUAAAUACGAAUGUAUCAAGUCACGUUUAAGUGUUAGAUACAUCCAUAUCUAGACAAAUGUAAGACAAGAAUUUUGAGACGGAGGGAAUAAUUU